GCGCCGGCGGCAACGGGUCUCCGUAGCCGGCGAUGGAAAUCCCCAGGCCUGGUCCCUGGGCGGCUCAUUCCAGGGUUCCUUUAUUUUUGGACCUAAAAAAACCACACCAGCUUUUGCUGAGGACAGCGCUGGGCUCUCCCAUCCUGGCACACGGGCAAAGAGAGGAAGCGGGGAGGAGGCAGGAACCAGACGCGACUCCCCGUGCCUUUCUUCCCCUCCCUGUUCCCCGCCCCUCCAGGAAGAAAUCAGUCAGAGAUCCAUCCCUCGCUGUGGCCACUGUGCCUGCACCAACCACUACGCCCGCCCUCCUUUUCCUUCCACCCGAUUUUGCACUGAGAGCCCGACUGCCCGCGCGCCCCAGGCUGGGCAGGUCCUGGCAGGCGGUGCAGGCUCCCCUCCCCCGGGGCUUCUCAGCGAAUCACGUCGUUCCUGGGAUUUCAUGCUCGAGUGGCUCUUGCGUAACCCUACGCCCUGGCCUAAGUUAAUACUUUUUUUUCCCCAAAUACCGGGAUUACUCCUUUAGGGAAAGGCAAAUACUUCCGCCACGGAAUGGGCCUGGGAGUAAAAGCGUAAAUCAUCUUGCUGUCUCCCUUCCCCCACCCUCUACAGCCCCUUUGCGCGUCUCUACAGGCCCAGGGCUCAAACUGCGCCUCUGGGGUUCCUGGCGCGCGGUGAUCAGGGGCCAUGGAAAGGCCAGAGGAGGGCCCAGCCCAGACGUUUGUUUUCAUCUUCUCCGAGGCGGAUCUCGCAGGCCAGAGAAGUGGGUCCCGCUUACCGCGGGGCUGUUACCAAAAAAGGCCUUUCUUUCGCUGGAGCGCUUGGCGGCGCGCGUUGCAGCGGGGUGACGCGAGGUUCAGCCCGGGCCUCCUCGAAGGUUGAGCCAGCUGACUGCAGGGAUGCCAGGCCAAGAGUACCCCCCGCCCCCCCCAACCCACCCGCCCCGUCUCUGCCACAAAACGGCGGGGACAGAAGACUGCAGGGAGCUUCGAAGUGCGCGCCUAGCGACCUUCUCACCACUAGUAACCUUGGGCUAUGGUGCUCCGGAAAGGCCAGGUGGAAAGCUGACCUUUUGCUCCAGUUUACAGCAGGGUUCUCUGAGGAUGCCAGCCCAGAUGGCAAGCUGGGUGGGGAAAGCGACAUAGGAAGGAACUUUGGGAAGACGAUGUCGCCGUUUGGCGCCCGGCUCUGCUAGUCUCGGCUUGUCUCCCAGACCCCAUGGACAGAGUUCUGUGAGUCUCUGCACGUGGCAGUUUACGUUGAGGCUCCUCCACCUCCACCAACCCCCUCCCAAAUCCUUUCCAGUUCCUUUCCACUGUUGUCAUAGUUUUGUUGCACGGGACUCUUCUUCGGGGAGAAAACCCACCUCCAGAACAUUGGAGUUCUUGCCUCUCACCGUCUCUCACACAUCCUCAAACGGCCAUCUCAGACAGGCAACAUGAGAUACCACAAAU